rnacentral:pre_miRNA from 1 species
GAGGCCAAAACUCAACAUCUAAAUCUUUCGAGUUUACUGGGCUGUUGCGCAGAGGGAUCAUGCUUGUUUAUGAUUACUUGCCCAAUAACUGGCAUCCUUAUCUCAAUUGCAAUAAAGGGCAAUCGAGAUAAGGAUGCCCACUGGGUAAGAGUACUCUUAAACUAGCCACCUUUCUGAUCCCUCUGUGCUAAAGCCCAGUAACCUCACAAGAUUUCGAUGUUGAAUUUUGGCCUC